UACGAAGGGAGCUAGCGUUGUUCGGAAUCACUGGGCGUAAAGCGCACGUAGGCGGAUUUGUAAGUCAGGGGUGAAAUCCCGGGGCUCAACCUCGGAACUGCCUUUGAUACUGCAAAUCUCGAGUCCGAUAGAGGUGGGUGGAAUUCCUAGUGUAGAGGUGAAAUUCGUAGAUAUUAGGAAGAACACCGGUGGCGAAGGCGGCCCACUGGAUCGGUACUGACGCUGAGGCGCGAAAGCUAGGGGAGCAAACGGG
rnacentral:rRNA from 1 species